AGAGCAUAGGGAGAUACCACGAUCAAGAAGGUGGUUUUCCCAGGGGGAGGCUUAUCCAUUGCAAUCUCGAUGUGCUGACCCCUGCAAUUUCCCCAAAUGUGGGAAACUCAACUGCCUAAUUCGUGGUGGUGGGGGCCUGCAUCUGUGCUUUCCCCUG